UGAAACGACUGCUAAGACUGGAUAGGAGACAAGAGGGCAUCUUCUUGUUUUUAAAAGACCUAGCAAUAGGUAUGCUUAGGGAGGAGCUUGCGUCACAUUAGUUAGUUGGUGGGGUAAAGGCCUACCAAGACUAUGAUGUGUAGCCGGGCUGAGAGGUUGAACGGCCACAUUGGGACUGAGACACGGCCCAAACUCCUACGGGAGGCAGCAGUAGGGAAUUUUCGGCAAUGGAGGAAACUCUGACCGAGCAACGCCGCGUGAACGAUGAAGUAUUUCGGUACGUAAAGUUCUUUUAUUAGGGAAGAAUAAAUGAUGGAAAAAUCAUUCUGACGGUACCUAAUGAAUAAGCCCCGGCUAACUAUGUGCCAGCAGCCGCGGUAAUACAUAGGGGGCAAGCGUUAUCCGGAAUUAUUGGGCGUAAAGGGUGCGUAGGCGGUUAAAUAAGUUUAUGGUCUAAGUGCAAUGCUCAACAUUGUGAUGCUAUAAAAACUGUUUAGCUAGAGUAAGAUAGAGGCAAGUGGAAUUCCAUGUGUAGUGGUAAAAUGCGUAAAUAUAUGGAGGAACACCAGUAGCGAAGGCGGCUUGCUGGGUCUUUACUGACGCUGAGGCACGAAAGCGUGGGGAGCAAACAGGAUUAGAUACCCUGGUAGUCCACGCCGUAAACGAUGAGUACUAAACGUUGGGUAAAACCAGUGUUGAAGUUAACACAUUAAGUACUCCGCCUGAGUAGUACGUACGCAAGUAUGAAACUUAAAGGAAUUGACGGGACUCCGCACAAGCGGUGGAUCAUGUUGUUUAAUUCGAAGGUACCCGAAAAACCUCACCAGGUCUUGACAUGCUUCUGCAAAGCUGUAGAAACACAGUGGAGGUUAUCAGUUGCACAGGUGGUGCAUGGUUGUCGUCAGCUCGUGUCGUGAGAUGUUGGGUUAAGUCCCGCAACGAGCGCAACCCU
rnacentral:rRNA from 1 species